CGGCAUGCCUAAGACAUGCAAGUCGAACGAGAAAGCCCAAUGAAGAUAGAGUGCUUGCACAAAGUUGAAUUUGGAUUCCUUCUAGUGGCGCAAGGGUGAGUAACACGUGGGUAAUCUACCUUCGAGUCUGGAAUAACAGUUAGAAAUGAUUGCUAAUGCCGGAUGAUAUCGAGAACGAUACGUCAUUCUUUAUUAAAAGGGGCCUCUAAAGCCUCGCUUGAAGAUGAGCCUGCGCCGUAUUAGCUAGUUGGUGGGUAAAGGCCUACCAAGGCAACGAUGCGUAGCCGACCUGAGAGGGUGAUCGGCCACACUGGGACUGAGACACGGCCCAGACUCCUACGGGAGACAGCAGUUAGGAAUAUUCGUCAAUGGGGGAAACCCUGAACGAGCAAUGCCGCGUGAAAGGAUGAAGGUCCUAUGGAUUGUAAACUUCUGUUGUUAGGGAAGAACGUCUUGUAUAGGAAAUGAUACAGGAGUGACGGUACCUUUCAAGAAAGCUCCGGCUAACUACGUGCCAGCCGCCGC
rnacentral:rRNA from 1 species